UAACAAGGAUUCCCCUAGUAACUGCGAGUGAAGCGGGAAGAGCUCAAAUUUAAAAUCUGGCAGUCUCCUGGCUGUCCGAGUUGUAAUCUGGAGAAGCGUUUUCUGUGUUAGACCGUGUACAAGUCUCCUGGAACGGAGCGUCAUAGAGGGUGAGAAUCCCGUCCAUGACACGGACUACUAAUACUUUGUGAUACGCUCUCGAAGAGUCGAGUUGUUUGGGAAUGCAGCUCAAAAUGGGUGGUAAAUUCCAUCUAAAGCUAAAUACAGGCGAGAGACCGAUAGCGAACAAGUACCGUGAGGGAAAGAUGAAAAGCACUUUGGAAAGAGAGUUAAACAGUACGUGAAAUUGUUGAAAGGGAAACGCUUGAAGUCAGUCGCGUUGUGCAGAACUCAGCCUUGCCUCGGCUUGGUGUACUUUCUGCACAACGGGUCAACAUCAAUUUUGGCCCAUGGAGAAAGGUGGGGGGAAUGUAGCGCUGUUUCGACAGCGUGUUAUAGCCCUCCACUGUAUACAUGGGCUGGGAUUGAGGAACGCAGCACGCCCUUGUGGCCGGGGGUUCGCCCCACGUACCGUGCUUAGGAUGUUGGCAGAAUGGCUUUAAGCGACCCGUCUUGAAACACGGACCAAGGAGUCUAACAUGCUUGCGAGUGUUCGGGUGGAAAACCCUUGUGCGUAAUGAAAGUGAAAGUUGGGAACCUCCGCGAGGGGGUGCACCGACGCCCGGCCCUGACGUUCUCUGACGGUGCUGCGGUAGAGCAAGUAUGCUAGGACCCGAAAGAUGGUGAACUAUGCCU
rnacentral:rRNA from 1 species